rnacentral:lncRNA from 1 species
AUGUUUGUGCUACACUGGGCCCCCGUCCUCGUCUCUCUGCUGUCCUUCAGCGCGGCAGCACCCACAACAGACGACUGCAGCCAGCUGACCCAGCUUCUGACAGCGAAUGACCUCCAUCAGAUCUUGGGGAAGUGGAUCUUUAUCGAGGGGUGUUCCAAUAAUGAGAUUUUUGACAGCGUCUUUAAAAAUACUGAAAGUAUGUGGAUGAUGUUGAACACAACAGCAGACAACCAGACCUUGGUGUUAGAUCAGGCCAGCCAGCUGGUACCCCAGCAGCAUCAGGCAACAAUGCAAAGACAAUGCCUCAGAGGUUCUCACAAUGUGCCCAUCGUCGAUGACAAAGUCUUGGAGUUGCACUUUGCAGUCGCCCAUACCUACCACAGGUUCCUGCAGACCUGCCUUGACUGUUUGAUCAUGUACACCUACACAAAAGAGAAUGACUUCCAAGCAUUGUACUUAUUUGGGAAGAACACGACACUGACAGCCUCUGACUUGGAGACCUUCAGGAAACAAGCUGCAUGCCUCAAGUUUCCCCUGCCGGCAAAGUUUCACUACGACACCAGCAAAGAGCUGUGUCCCAUGUAGGAAAGAAGACUCUUCAUGACAGAACAAACAGAGGGCUGCAAAUUUUAUUUUCAUUAUUGGUUAAAAUAUUAAUGGUUGAUUUCACUUUUCUUUUAUUAGUUUAGUAACCGUUGCAGUGUAAGACAAUAAAGACAAAUGUGUCCAAAAUGGGGUCUUCAAAUUGUUGAUUUUGUACAAAUACAAAAAGUAUUCUUUUGCAAUGUUUCUGCUUAAUUAAAUCAAUGAAUAAUUUUUUUUGGUAACUUUUCCCAACUUUACAUACAACCUUGCAAUAAGGACAAUGACCACAGUGACAGAACAGUGACAUGGCACUGCUGGUCCUGUCUGGUUUCCCAGAACUGCUCCAGCAGUCAAUGACUUUCACAAGUCAAACAAGCCAGUUGAAUCUAAGAUUCAAUAGUUGGCAUCAAUGGGCCUCUGAAUAUCCAGAAUAGUAGGAAUAUCUAAAAAAUAUAUGGUAUAUAUAGAUAUAUAUAAAUGAACACUUACUAAGUAAACAUGUUUUUUAAGUAAAUAUAUAGUAUAUACAUUUAAAGUAUCCAAUGUGAAAAUAUUCAUAGUGUAGGAGAGUAAUUUCACUAUCAGGUAAACCCCUUUGUGUCCAGUUUUGUGGAUUGUCCCUCUUUCAGAUGAGCUGAAGCAGGACAGGAAGACAGGAAACAAGAAAAGAAAGGAGGGAUGUAUAUGAGGAAGGACAUAAACGGUGACAAAGUAAAGUAAAAGAAUGUUUGUGAGAAUGCAGAUUCAGACAUUCAUGACAUGAGAUAGACUAACCACUUUAGAAAGCUAAUAUCAAUACUUUUAGUCUUUGAAUUUUUUCUCAUAACCAAAGUUACUCAUUAGAAUUUAAAAAUGUUGAGGUUGUUACAUCGACAGACAAUUUAGUGUUGGUCAGUUCUACUAUAAUGGAAAACUGAUUCAUUGAUAGCCUAUCUAUCAGAGGUAGAAGUCGAUGACUGACCAUUAUUAGUCUCACAUAGCCAGACCUCUGUAUAUCCUUUUAGCGCUGUGUCGGUGCUGGAGAAAGGUCUGACUGAACCCGUUAUCUUUCUGGUACUAUACAAUUGUUAAUUGAUCAUUUUUAAUCAUGUUUGAUUGAAUCAGAGUUCAGGGUUGCCAAGCAGCAGUAAACUUUUUGAGGCUGCCAUAUAGCAUACUACUGUUGACAGAUAUUAAAACUGACCAAAAUCUCACCUCCAGUUCUCACUGAAGAAUAGACAACCUGUGUUGACCACAUAACGUUACUAAGCAAGUUGUUCCACUACGUUACUCUCCAUUUUGUGUACAUCUGCUUCCACAUGAGAAAUUGUGAGGUGGUGCAUUGAUUCCUUUAGCACGAUAACCUUGAUAAUAUCCGGUAGUGUGUGAUGCACCGUUAUUUUAUCCUUGAGAUCAGACAGAAGAAAAUCUUUCUCCUCAUGUGGGGGAUGGAACGGGAUUUCAAGAUCAGACAGGAUUUUAAAGCUGCAGUAGGUAACUUUUUUAUCUGUCUCUUGUACUACUGUCGGCAUGUAGUGAACGUUUCAGCAAAUAUGACAAAAAGUUAUUUUUAUACAAAUGACCUACUGCAGCUUCAAAACUCCUGUAGUCUAAGUGCAACUUAAGCACUUCUGGAGGAAUCCAAUACCCUGACAAAAACACAAAUACCAUGAUAUAGAGCGAAUAAUGACACUGCAAGCAAUGUAACUAACAUUAGCAAGGUCAUGGGUUAGAAAACUGCACAGCUAACAUGCAGAGAGAGAUGAGACGGUUUCCCAGAGCCAGCACACCAGCUCCAGAGAGCAGCUCACAGUUCUUAUAGCUAACAUCACACCAACAGCAUAUCUCGGCAAACUAGAAAGUAAGCUGAACUUUACCUGACACACAAAUCCUGGCUUGAAUAACAAGUUAGUGUUGUGUGCUCAGUCCUGCCUGAAUUUGAUAGAAAGUGUGCUGGAUUAGAAUCACAUUACCUAGAAUCACUUGCCCCACCUUUAAGGUUUGCGACAGUUAUUGAUCUAACCUUGAGAGACAGACACACACACACACACACACACACACACACACACACACACACACACACACAGUGGCAUAUAACUGCGGGGCAAUCUGAUCAACUACAUCAGACAGUGAUCCUGCCGUUCUCCAGCUCACAAGACAGUUGGUUCUCAGGGUGCUGA